rnacentral:ncRNA from 11 species
CCACGCUUGACGGGGUGCCGUUGACGACGGCUGAGAUCAUGCGAAAACAGCAUGGAUCCCGUUGAACCUGAGAGGGUGUUUACAAACUACUGCGCUCGGCCAUGCCGCGUUGAAAUCAGCCUCAAAUGCUCAUUUACCUCAUCGUAAACUCCGCGUUUUCGGCUGAUUUCGCCUAGCCCUGGCCAUCGCUCGUGGCAUUUGUAAAUACCCUCUGCACUGGCUAGGACCAGCGUAGGGAUCAAGCGAUACGCCGCC